GCAGAGAGGGCAAUAGCACCCUCAGAACUGGCAGACCCCAGGCCUGGUGCUCCGGGCUCAGAGCCAGAAGCUGCCCCUUCCCUUCAGGAGCAACGGUCUUGGAGGCAAGGGCUUUCUCAUACCUGGACACCGUGUCCCCAUCCCUUUCCCAGCGAGCAGGCAAGGCAUGUCUUUGCCAGCAAGAGAGAUGGGUUUUUCUCUCA
rnacentral:lncRNA from 1 species